UUUAUUAUAAACCUAAAUUCACAAAGAUGACACUGCCAGAAGUCGAGUUACGUAAGCUUGCUGCUCAUUUUGCAAGCUCAUCGAGCUGAUCAUCGAUCAAUAUACAACAUAAAUAUGUAUUUCAACUCUCUCACGAUAAAAAUGUCACCCAAAAUCUAUGCUCGACAACAACAAAAAUCGAAGCAGAAAACAAACAUAGAAGACAGACUGAAAACGCUACCAACGACAGACAAAAGAUAGAACUGGAAACAAAUACCGGACGUGAUUGGAUGAUAGACAACUAUUUUGUAGCACAAUCAAUGGGCUAUUCAGAGUGGAAUUCACACAGCGAGAGAGCAAGAGCAACCAACCAACCAAAAACAAAAAUUAAGUUGUAGAUGAAACGAAGAGCAGCUUCAGCCUCAGUCUCAGCCUCAACCAGAUCAGACUCCGACUCCGACCCGAAGACCAAUUCAGUGGAGAGCAGAGAGUCUGGUCUACAAACUGGGGCCAAGUUCACUGAUAAGAUCAUCGCCGUCGCACUAAUAACAGCCAAUGAUGUGAGGCCAACAGCAACAAUAACUUUGUCGAUGCUUUAGGAUAUGACUUGGCAAAUUUACACGUGUGUGUGUGUGUGUUUUUGUGUGUUAUUAACAGAACAUUGCCGAACCCCAGAGAUCUUUAAGAUCCGAUUAAAACCAUUAACACUUUUUGUAGCCGCUUGAUAGAAAUAAAUUCUGU